AGGACGAACGCUGGCGGCGUGCUUAACACAUGCAAGUCGAGCGGAAAGGCCCUUCGGGGUACUCGAGCGGCGAACGGGUGAGUAACACGUGAGUAAUCUGCCCAUCGCUUCAGGAUAGCCAUCGGAAACGGUGAUUAAUACUGGAUAUGACAUUCCUUCGCAUGUUGGGGUGUGGUAAAGUUUUUUCGGCGGUGGAUGUGCUCGCGGCCUAUCAGCUUGUUGGUGGGGUAAUGGCCUACCAAGGCUUUGACGGGUAGCCGGCCUGAGAGGGUGACCGGCCA
rnacentral:rRNA from 1 species